rnacentral:rRNA from 1 species
GUGCAGCAGGCGAGAAUUUUCACAAUGGGGGAAACCCUGAUGGAGCGACGCCGCGUGGAGGAUGAAGGCCCUCGGGUCGUAAACUCCUGUCAUGCGGGAACAAGAAAGUGACAGUACCGCAAGAGGAAGAGACGGCUAACUCUGUGCCAGCAGCCGCGGUAAUACAGAGGUCUCAAGCGUUAUUCGGAUUCAUUGGGCGUAAAGGGUGCGUAGGUGGCGAUGUAAGUCUGGUGUGAAAUCUCGGAGCUUAACUCCGAAACUGCAUUGGAUACUGCGUUGCUUGAGGAUUGUAGAGGAGAGUGGAAUUCACGGUGUAGCAGUGAAAUGCGUAGAUAUCGUGAGGAAGACCAGUUGCGAAGGCGACUCUCUGGGCAAUUCCUGACACUGAGGCACGAAAGGCCAGGGGAGCAAACGGGAUUAGAUACCCCCUGUAGU